UACAGAAAAGUCGCUGACUCCUAACCUGUACCACACACUGCCUCUGCUCUCACUGGAGUUGAAACACCAGACUCUUCACUGGACCUCCGUAGAAACUCCAAGGAACAUCUUCAGUUGGGGUUUGGCUUUGAGUCCACCAGACACCACGGUUCUGAUUAUUUGCCUCUAUUUCCAAGUUUUCUGUGAGAAUUGCAAACAUGACCAGCUUUCACGCAGCCCAGAUGAAGAAGAGACACGAAGGAGCUGAGGUGGUGGUAAGGAGAGAUGCAGGGUCUGUGGCACCUGAAAGCCACACACAGUCAGUUCAUCAGAACCUCAGACUUGUCUUGGGCCACUCACAUGGAGGUCUUCCCAGCUCUAAAGAUACAGAAAUUUCUUCUGCAAUAUCAAAUUCUUGGUUUUCUAAUCUUGUCAUAUGUAGCAGUUUUGAUAACAUAAAAUGUUUCUUGGACCCAGCAAAGUAAAUCACCAGCAAAUAA